AAACUUUAUCUGCCACAGAGUUUCUUGUCAAACGCAAGUUGCUUCUGCUCCGACAGCGUUCUAAGGCCAUUGUAGGAAAAAACAAUAAUGUUACGGACCAGGGAGAGAAGGCUAGCAACCCUGA